GAAAUAAAUGCUUAUUUGUUUCUAUUUGUUCCAGAAUCUAAUGGAGGGGAUUCCAGAAACUCAUUUUCUCGCAAUCCCAGAAAUGGAAGUCCCUCCUGUUCGCCUCUCCCUCCCAAGCUCUCAUGUGCACUGACCUGGGUUUCCCUUGUGCUCUGGUGACGUGGUAGAAGAUGGUGACGCAGGCUUCCUGGAGUGCUCUGGGCAGGAAGGGAACGGAGAAUCUGUGGAGUUGGGGGGAAGGAGGAGUUAGUCGCAGCCUCUGUGUUCACGUCAUGGCACAAGAGGACGUCAGAAAGUCUCAUGUGAGUCUGACAGGACUGGAGUUCUUAAGACCCACAACAAUUCAAGCCUGGCCUGGCUUCUCAGCUGGAACUCAAACCCCUCAGAGGGUUUCAGCCCACUCCCUGUCUAUGGCUCUCACCACCCAGUCCCUGUGGAAGGAUAACAUGGGUAAUCCUGAAGUGAACCAUUCCCAGGUAUUCAGAGUCCGAGAUUCAAACAAUCAACCCUUUCUGGAAUGAUGCCCGAUCAAGCAGUCUCCAGCAAUAUGGUGGGUACCUGUGCUAGGAUCUCUCUGUAGCCAUUGCCUGCUAGAGAAGUGGAAGGAGUCCAAUUGGAGCAAAACCCUGUACCAUCCUUGCGGAUUGCAACUGCAGUGUGCUCCCCAUGAAGCCCACACUGCUGGCCCAGUCUGCUGCUACCCAUUCAUCCUCAAGCCCCCAGCACUCACCUUGCUUCUAAAGAGCCAGGGUCCCCACCCCACAAGCUGCGAGCCAAGAACUGGGGGAGAGUCCAGAUGGUUUUAUCCUCUUCUCUGCAUUGUGGACUGUCUUGCCAACCUCUCUGUAGCUUUUAAUUUUUCUUCCAGAUCCUUCCAGAUUUCUGAUGAUUUAUUCCUCUUUUUUUCUUCCCCAAGUUAUUUUCAGAAUCUGGAUUCUGGAUCUCAUAUGCUGAAUUUUACUGCCACUCAUCACUCCAAAUGCAAUCUUUAAUAGAAGAAAGCCACUUAAAAUAUUUUUCAGCUUGAGCCAAUUAAAUUUACUGUAUUACUGGUUUCCAUCAUUGGGAUUAAAUGCGGUAGAAGAUAUAAAAUAAAGUAAAGUUUAGUUUGAAAUCUAGUUGGAAGAUAGAAUUUAAAUUCAUAUAAGAAGGUUGAAUGACUUUAUAAGAUUUUGAAUUUAUUAUCAGUAAGAAAAGAAACCUUCAUGGUAGAUGCUUCAGGGGCCUUGGGAAGAUGGAACAGGGUUGGCAUGGACAGAAUUCUGGGCUUUCUGUGCUAUGACUUGCCUGAAAAUCCUCAUGCUGUCUUGUGAGAGAUGGUUAUUUGUCUGC
rnacentral:lncRNA from 1 species